AGGAGUUUUUCGCCGAGGGCUCCCGUGCCAGAUGCUUAAAGCACGCCGUCCGGCAGCUCCAGGGUGCCAGUGGCAGGUUAUAGGGUGCUGGGAGGAGGUGGCUGGCGUGUGCCCGCAGCUCCACGGUGCCCGCUACAGGUGUGGGGCGGCAGGCUCAGCCAUGGGAGGCCCUGGGGACAUGGAAGCUGCUGAAAGCACCUGAUGACUGUUUGGCCCCCAAAACGUGUCCAGCGGCGAGGCAGAGGCAGAGCAGCAGCGCGUGCCCUUUCCCUGGGCACAGGCAGCCACACAUGCGGAGGGGCUGCCCCCGGGCACGCUGCAGGGCCGCUCAUCGCUCCCUCCCGAAGCUCAGCAGCCCCUUCCUGGGGUGUGCAGGGGGCCAGGCAGAAGCUGUGCCAUGGCACAGGGCAGCAGGAGGGUCCCUGCAGCACCUGCUCUGGCUCUGGGUCCCCGGGGCUGUUUCCACGCGUGGCCAGAGCUCGGGGCUGGCCUGGCGGUGGCUGGGAGAUAACCCUGUGCUGGCUGAGGCCGCUUCCAAACCUCACUCCUGACUGACGGGUGCUGUGAGCUCGGGGUACCACGGGGCUCUUUCCCCCCCUCUUUCCUCCUCCCAGCAGUUGGGGAGCCCAGGGGGGCUCUGCCCUGGCUCGCAGUGGGUGCAGGCAGCCAGGGGCUUGGGCCAGGGCUGCAGCAUCUGCUUCUUGUCAGGCUGCCGGCAGCACCACAGCUGCCGGGGCUCUGAUAGAUGGUGUGUUUAUCACAUUGCAGCUUUGCUCAGGAUGUUAGUGUUUGCCUGCAAAAGACAUUUUUGGGCUUGGCCGCUCCUUCCAUCCUCCCUCUCCUCCUGCUUCCCCCACCCCGGAUCCUCGCCCCUGGCUCUGGAUGGGCUCCCUCCCACAGCCCCUGGUGCUUGCCCGCGGGAAGGGCUGGCUCAGCAUGGGAAGCCGAGGUGCUGGCCAGCUGCAUGGGGAUGGAGACUGGGACAGGGACAAGGGUGGGAAGGGACAGCAAGAGCCGUCACGGGCUCCUCAUACCCCAGGAUGGGGAAAGGGCAGAGGGUUGGGGGAUGUGCUGCGUGGUACCCACAGCCCCACACCAUCCUGAAGUGUACCGGCCCUGCUGAGUGGCAGCCCUGGGCUGACUCCCGUCACCCUCCCCCCCUCACCCAGCCCCACACCAGUUCUUGGGGAGUGGGGUACACCGAUUUGGAGGCAGAAUCCCCCACCCCCAUCUGUCCCUGUCCCUGUCUGUCCCUGCAGAGCUGUGACUAGGCUGAGCUACCAAGCCCAGCUCUGUCCUGCUAUCGUGUUGGGGCUGGGCACAGGGGAUGCAGGCACAUGGCUCUCGAGGAGGAUGGGGCUACCUGUGCCACAGCCAGAAAGGUGGGCAGACACACAGCCUCGCCAUGGCACGACCCACGGACGCACAGCAGCCGCAGCGAGGCUGACCACGGGCUCCUCCAUGUCUCCCAGCCCAAGGUGCAGUGCUGCAUCUCUGGUCAAUUGGGAGUCUGAGAUGAAGCACUGUAGCUCGGGAAGGGAGGAACUGUGCACCUGGGGACUGCCGGGCACCCACCCGCCAGGACAAGAGGCGGAAGGAGAGCUGACCCCUGGCCCCAGGAAAGGGCCCACCACAAAGAGCAAGGGGGGAGAAGUGAGUGGGGAGGUUUCUCCUUGCAGCACCCCCGUGUCUGCUGGGCACAGGGCAGGGGGCCCGUUGUGUGGUGAGGGGCAGCAGGGACACGGCAGGGACAUCCCCCAUCAGCCACACGUGGGGCCCGGCUGGUGAGGCCGCGUGGGGCUGGCGCAGAGCCCUGCUCGCCGUGCCCUCAGGGUCCAGUUUUCCCAGGAAUCCCUUAGGCACUACGUUGGGGAUUCCUGGAAAUACUGUUCUUGGGGCCACGGCUGGGCGGCUGGAGGGGGCAGCGAGCCGCUGCCUGCACAGGAGCCUGUGACUGAGGUACGGGGCUGUGGGAACGGGGGGCUGUGAGUGUGGGAGAGCCCACAUCUCCCCCAAACAUGGAGAGGUGGGCAACCCAGCCCGGGCAGCCGCAGCUCCCCCACGCCAAGGGGUGACCCCGUGGGUCACGCUGAUGCUUCGCACCCUGCCCUGCCCUGCACGGCCAGCCGGGGGGCAAUAAAGGUCUCGACUCCCAAA